AAUAUUGGUCAAUGGGCGAAAGCCUGAACCAGCCAUGCCGCGUGAGUGAUGAAGGCCUUAGGGUUGUAAAGCUCUUUCGACGGGGAAGAUAAUGACGGUACCCGUAGAAGAAGCCCCGGCUAACUUCGUGCCAGCAGCCGCGGUAAUACGAAGGGGGCUAGCGUUGUUCGGAAUCACUGGGCGUAAAGCGCGCGUAGGCGGGUCGUUAAGUCAGGGGUGAAAUCCCGAGGCUCAACCUCGGAACUGCCUUUGAUACUGGCGACCUGGAGUCCGGGAAAGGUGAGUGGAACUCCUAGUGUAGAGGUGAAAUUCGUAGAUAUUAGGAAGAACACCAGUGGCGAAGGCGGCUCACUGGCCCGGUACUGACGCUGAUGCGCGAAAGCGUGGGGAGCAAACAGG
rnacentral:rRNA from 1 species